CCUACGGGCGGCAGCAGUGGGGAAUUUUGGACAAUGGGGGCAACCCUGAUCCAGCAAUGCCGCGUGUGUGAAGAAGGCCUUCGGGUUGUAAAGCACUUUUGUCCGGAAAGAAAUCCCUUGCCCUAAUACGGCGGGGGGAUGACGGUACCGGAAGAAUAAGCACCGGCUAACUACGUGCCAGCAGCCGCGGUAAUACGUAGGGUGCGAGCGUUAAUCGGAAUUACUGGGCGUAAAGCGUGCGCAGGCGGUUUUGUAAGACAGGCGUGAAAUCCCCGAGCUCAACUUGGGAAUGGCGCUUGUGACUGCAAGGCUAGAGUAUGUCAGAGGGGGGUAGAAUUCCACGUGUAGCAGUGAAAUGCGUAGAGAUGUGGAGGAAUACCGAUGGCGAAGGCAGCCCCCUGGGACGUCACUGACGCUCAUGCACGAAAGCGUGGGGAGCAAACAGGAUUAGAUACCCCAGUAGUC
rnacentral:rRNA from 2 species